UACGUAGGGUGCAAGCGUUGUCCGGAUUUAUUGGGCGUAAAGAGCUCGUAGGCGGUUUGUCGCGUCGGAUGUGAAAACCUAGGGCUUAACCCUGGGCCUGCAUUCGAUACGGGCAAACUAGAGUUUGGUAGGGGAGACUGGAAUUCCUGGUGUAGCGGUGAAAUGCGCAGAUAUCAGGAGGAACACCGGUGGCGAAGGCGGGUCUCUGGGCCAAUACUGACGCUGAGGAGCGAAAGCGUGGGGGAGCGAACAGG
rnacentral:rRNA from 1 species